rnacentral:rRNA from 1 species
GCCCUAACACAUGCAAGUCGAACGAGACCCGUUCGGGUCUAGUGGCGCACGGGUGCGUAACGCGUGGGAACCUGCCUUUAGGGUUCGGAAUAACUCAGAGAAAUUUGAGCUAAUACCGGAUAAUGUCUUCGGACCAAAGAUUUAUCGCCUUUAGAUGGGCCCGCGUUGGAUUAGCUAGUUGGUGGGGUAAAGGCCUACCAAGGCGACGAUCCAUAGCUGGUCUGAGAGGAUGAUCAGCCACACUGGGACUGAGACACGGCCCAGACUCCUACGGGAGGCAGCAGUGGGGAAUAUUGGACAAUGGGCGAAAGCCUGAUCCAGCAAUGCCGCGUGAGUGAUGAAGGCCUUAGGGUUGUAAAGCUCUUUUACCCGAGAUGAUAAUGACAGUAUCGGGAGAAUAAGCUCCGGCUAACUCCGUG